UAUCAUAUUCGAAUAUAUUUAUUUUAGUGAUGAUGUAUGAAUUAUUAUCAUAAUUUGAAAAUUUACUAAAAAAACAAUAUCAACAUGAAUUGUAAUAUAUGAGUUAUUACCUUAACCAAAAUUAUAAAUUAACAUUAAAUAUAAUUAUAUAUGUCAUAUUUAGCUAUACAAUGUGUCAUCAAUAUUAAUAGCCAUGUCAAUAUUACAUAAUGCCAAUAUUAUGCUACUUAAACCCCAAAUCCCCUAACUCCCGUUAAGUAGCCAAAUUCAUAAAUAUACUUAUUCGACAAAACAAAAAACUUUAAAAUAUUUACUAAUCCGACCAUGCACAAGCAUCCAUUCCCUAUUCCAUCGCGAUAGGAUAACAAUGCAACCAACUCCUCAAAAAAAAAUCAAGCUCUUUUGCAAAAAAAAAAAAAAAUUUUAACACCUAAAAUUUUUUGUUUCCAAACUUCUACAGGGAACACACAUAAAAAGAAAAAGAGGACGUCCACUCGGAUCACGCAACAAACCAAAAGGUGUGUCAUGACUCCUAAGAUAUAGUAUUUCUUUAUUCAAAAUCAUACCAUUUUAAAUUAUGAAUGUAUUUCGUAGUCCACCAGAUAUGCAAUCUACCAGCGUUCAAACCAAAGUUUUAUGAUUGUAAGUUUAAGUGAAUUAUAAUAAUAUAUUCUUUUUUUUGUAACUGAUAAAAUAAUAUAUUCUUCACGGUAUCUUUUCAUAACUAAUUGAGUUAUCAAACUUGAUCGCAUAGGUGGCUUUGAUAAGUGUGACCUUUAUGGUGUACAAUUCUUUUCAACCUAAAAACAUUAUUGUUCCUCAAUAUCUUUCAUUCUGCUUGACUCCAACAAAAUAUUUUCUCAUCUGUUUUUCUUCCUUUAAACUAAUUUAUUAUCAUCUAUUUCCUGACAUUUUAAUCCAUCCAACUAUGUCAAAAACUUAUAGAAAAUGUCAACUUCCAAACAAAACAUAAUUGAACUUAGCAAAUAAAUUCUUAAUAAUAUUAAAAACGUUACUUAAUAAUUUCUUCAACCCCCAUUUUCCGCGCGUAGCGCGGACAAAGACUCUAGUAUAUGUAAAGGAGGAUAUUUGUGAGUUUAAGUCUUAACUAUAUGUAGGUAGGUAAGAUUUUAGGAUAAGUAGUUAUUAAUAUUGAUAAUGUAAUCUAAUUUACUAUAGGAGAUACUUAGUAAUUUGUGUAUAAAAGUAUAACGGUUCCAAUUCUGUUAUUAUAUAUAUUGAUAUGAUCUUUCUAUACUAAAUCUAACAAUACUAAAAGCCAAAUAUAAACCCCAUUUAGCCUAUCCACGUAGGACUAUUAAUUCUAACCAAUCAUAUAGCUUCAUCUCUCCACAUCACCACCGAAUGUUGGAUCAUCGAAUUGGACAUUGUUUAUGGGCCCAAUCAUAUAUUGUUUUCGGCCUGUCUAUAAGAAGCUUCGGUUGCGUCUUUAAGCCUUUCUUUCUAAUCCUUCGAAACGUUAAGAGGUUAUUAAUUCGUCGCUUUAACAAACCUCUUAAUACCAUCAACCCGCGUCGAACAUGAUCUGAGAUUGAUGCUCUCCAAGUUGGUCUCUCUGCACCUAUAAAAGUGGCUUCUCGCUGCAACACAAGAAACUGCAAUGAACGGAGAGUCCUCAUCGGUUCGAAUCAGCCCUAAGCACGAAGGAGUCGUGGAGAUCUCUGAUUAUGUACCUCUCAUUCCUUCUCUCGAGAUCUCGGUCAUCAUGAUACGUGGCUAUGUGAGGAGAUGGUGUUGAGAUGAGGAUGAUAGCUCUUACUUCACCUUGAAAUAAUUGAUCGACCGUUCAAGACGACCGACUACUCGGUUACUCGGUUGACAGGGAGGCGUUUACUCACUGAAAAAUCUCUUCUGAAGUGUUUUCCUUUCCAAGAGUCUGCUCAAUUGAUUGAUGUUUCUUUUUUCACCUUCUCUGCAAAACUUUUUUGGUAGCCAAGAGUCACUUUUUAUAAACUUCAGGCUUCUGAACUCUCAUUCUAAAAAUGGAUUUUUGUGUGGUUCUCUCAUUCUAUGAUCUUUUGUUCGUCUGAUAUGUUCGAUUUCAAAAGCAAGUUAUUAUCUAAUUAAAGCAUUGUCUUUAUAGGAACAGAAGCGAUGAUGACAAGAGAAGAAAGCUGAGUCCUCUGGAAAGAAACAACACAAUAAGUAAUUUAGAAGAACAAAGGGAGCUGAAGUUGCAAGACAUGUGGACUGUCCGUUGCAUUAGUUUUUUUAUUUUAUUUCCAAGUUCAACGAAGUCAGAGCACUUCAAGUCUUUCAUAGAUUAUGUUUUGUUGCUCUAUAUUUUCUAAAUUUCCACCGCUCAGACAUUUGCAAGUUAAUAAAUUUGCACUUCCACCCA